rnacentral:rRNA from 1 species
UACGAAGGGGGCUAGCGUUGCUCGGAUUUACUGGGCGUAAAGGGCGCGUAGGCGGACAGUUAAGUUGGGGGUGAAAGCCCGGGGCUCAACCUCGGAAUUGCCUUCAAUACUGGCUGUCUUGAGUGUGAGAGAGGUGUGUGGAACUCCGAGUGUAGAGGUGAAAUUCGUAGAUAUUAGGAAGAACACCGGUGGCGAAGGCGGCCAUCUGGCUCGGUACUGACGCUCAGGCGCGAAAGCGUGGGGAGCGAACAGG